UACGUAGGAUGCAAGCGUUGUCCGGAUUUAUUGGGCGUAAAGAGCGUGUAGGCGGCCAAGUAGGUCCGGUGUGAAAUCCCCCGGCUCAACUGGGGAACUGCACAGGAAACUAGCGGGCUUGAGUUCGGGAGAGGGAAGCGGAAUUCCGGGUGUAGCGGUGAAAUGCGUAGAUAUCCGGAGGAACACCGGUGGCGAAGGCGGCUCACUGGCCCGGUACUGACGCUGAGGUGCGAAAGCGUGGGGAGCAAACAGG
rnacentral:rRNA from 1 species